CAGCAACCCUUCUGGGUCCCCUUCCACCACGCAGAAGCUUUACUUUCGCUUUCACUUUACUUUUGCUUUCACUUUAACAAAUCUUGCAGCCGCACACUCUUUGGGUCCGCCCGUUUCUCUAAUCAAGUUGUAACACUCGCUGCUGUGGUCCACAGCUUCAUUCCUUGAAGCCCGUGAGACACGAACGCUUCCAUUGAGAAAAACCUUCCAUCAGAAGAAGACUUCUCGUCUCAGUGGGACUGCUGAGUUGAAUGGUGCUUUUUUUUCUGAAGCUUUGGUAGUGUAACUGUAAGAGUCCUGGAAUUGGAAAAGCAAAUCCAGAAGUUGAGUUCCAUGACUUUUUUGCUGUUUGCCUUUGGAAUUUUUACUGAACACUACAAUGACUGCAUAAAAAGAAAAAUUGAUAGCAGAGUUGGAAACUAGCAAAAGAUGACAUCUCUAAGCCUGAAAGCCAGAAGGAAUGUUGGGAAUAUAUUGUUUAGAGGAUAACUUUGCAGAAAGACUUGCAUCAUUUAUAUUUUUAAUUCAUCGAGGAUGAGAAAAUUGAUUAACACAAAAUCUUUUCAUGUCUUUUCUGAUGAGAGACUAGCUGAAUCCAAGAAGAGAAGCCCUUGAAGAGUGUAUUCUAUUCUAGACAAGCAUUCACACAUUGGCUUCUUUGGUGCCAGCAUGUUUCUGAUCAGCAUGAAAACUGCGCAGGAGCUUUUCUGUCUUGCAGAGCUAGUUAAUGAGAUUGUUGCUGCCUUCAGAUUCUAUAAAGGACUUCUCCAAUAUUGGAUUAAAGAAUGAAGAAAGGAUCAAAUUGAGACAUCCAGGGGGGAAGAGUUCCCUGGCAAAACUCCAAUCUGCCUGAGCACUGAGGUGGAGCCACAGAAGUCCGGGUCAUUUGCACCUGGGAGGAGCCUGGCCCCUCCUCUUCCUGUGUGGAAUCUGGGAUUUAAUCUGUGAGGAGGGAAGGCCAAGGGCAGGAAGCACAGGCUCUCACUUCACUAAGAGUCUCUGUUUCCCCUUUUUUUCCUUUAUGCCUAAUUAAUAAAUCCCAUUUUUCUCACUCUUCAAAUAGUCUUCAAGCCUAAAUUUUCAUGACCAUGGAACAAGGACCCCAUCUUUAGCUGAACUAAGGAAAAGUCCUGCAACAAAAUUCUUUGCUAAAAAUACAUGAGGUUGCCUUUUCCUUCUUAAUCUUAAAAGAAAUAUAUUUCAAUGGUUAACGUUUUAGUAAUUCAAAAAUUAUCAAGCAUUUGUUCACAACCAUAAGAUGUGCAUUGUUUUAUAUUCCUACUUAAUAAUAGACUAUAAUUGUCUAAUUAGACUGCCGAUGUUGAUCUUUGUGGCUCAUUGCAUUGAUUAUAAGCAGUGUUUUGGGUUUGUGUGUGUGUGUCAAAUUUAGGGUUUUUUUGGUAUGGCUGCUGGUUGGUGUAGCCUGUAUCCAGUAUCCUGUAUUAAUUCUAAUAUUUGCAUUUUGAACAUAUUUACAAGUUGCUAAAAUAGCAAAGCUUCGAGAUGAGCCUGGCUGAUAUGGCAAAACCCCGUCUCUACUAAAAAUACAAAAAUUAGCCUGGUGUGGUGGUGCAUGCCUGUAAUCCCAGCUACUUGGAAGUCUGAGGCAGGAGAAUCUCUUGAACCCAGAAGGUGGAGGUUGCAGUGGGCCAAGAUCGCACCACUGCACUCCAGCCUCGGUGAUAGAGCGAGACUACGUCUCAAAAAUAAAAUAAAAUAAAAUAAAAUAAAAAUAGCAAAGCUAUGUAUGGUUUCUCUGAGUUUUGUAAUUUAUCAUUGUUAACUGCAGAAAUUUAUUAUAUGAGACAUAUUAUAUGAGACAUAUAAGUGAAUUUGGAUUGGGUUUAAUUUUAUAUUUUUGAAUAUAGUUCUUCAAGAUAAAUUUUAUCUUAGACCUCAAGAAAUAAAAAUAAAAUAAAUUAGAUAUACAAACGA
rnacentral:lncRNA from 10 species